GGAUGAACCCUUGGAGAGACUCAAAAGCACAAUUGAAAAAAUAAUAAACCAGAAUAUUUGCAUAUUUGGUCUAGUAUUUUUUAUGUGCGGAAAUGGAGCACCGAAGGAGAAAGCGUAAAUGCGAAACUCUCAGGUAAAAGGACAGGGGAAAGGUA
rnacentral:ncRNA from 2 species